rnacentral:ncRNA from 31 species
GGUUGGGUUUUUAGACAAUAAAAGCUUUCAAGAUUUCAGUCUCUUUGGGUCAGGAGAC